AGAUUGAACGCUGGCGGCAGGCCUAACACAUGCAAGUCGAGCGGCAGCACGGGUACUUGUACCUGGUGGCGAGCGGCGGACGGGUGAGUAAUGCCUAGGAAUCUGCCUGGUAGUGGGGGAUAACGCUCGGAAACGGACGCUAAUACCGCAUACGUCCUACGGGAGAAAGCAGGGGACCUUCGGGCCUUGCGCUAUCAGAUGAGCCUAGGUCGGAUUAGCUAGUUGGUGGGGUAAUGGCUCACCAAGGCGACGAUCCGUAACUGGUCUGAGAGGAUGAUCAGUCACACUGGAACUGAGACACGGUCCAGACUCCUACGGGAGGCAGCAGUGGGGAAUAUUGGACAAUGGGCGAAAGCCUGAUCCAGCAAUGCCGCGUGCAGGGAAGAAGGCCUUCGGGUUGUAAACUGACUUUGUACGAACGAACGCCCUUUACUAAUAAGAGGCUAAUGACGUACGUAAGAAUAAGACACCGGCUAACG
rnacentral:rRNA from 1 species